rnacentral:lncRNA from 1 species
CUGAGUUAUCAGGUUCAGCAACGCUUACCACCGAAAUGGGUCUGAAUCUUGCAGAAUCUGGCUCUCCUCUGGAAGGUGGAUCUGCCCCAACAAGGAGAGAAGAGAAUCUAGGGACCAUGUACUCCAAGAUGCUGAAGCCUCCACAGCCUUCUAAGACCAGAAAUUGGACUAGCUGGAUUAGGAGACAUGAUGAAGAUGGAAAGAAAUGUUGGCUACCUCUGAGGUUUCUUGCGGUCAGACUUCCAGAACAAGUGGCAGUGCCUGACCUUCGAGAGCAGCGCUUCUCUCUGGCCCUGUUUGAACAUAUGAACCUCACGACUGUGGACAGUCUGCAGAAAUGUGUCUUCAGCUUCCACAGCAACUGUCAGGAGUGAGUGACUACCUUUGCCUGAGAACCUGAACCAUGAACCAAGAGAGAAAGCUGGAGAAUGAAAGACUGGCCAGAGGAAGCAGAGGUGCCUCUCUCAAAGUGGUAGGUUUUGACUGACAUUGAACGACAGUGAGAGGAGCCAGAGUGUUUGGACUGGCAGUGUUGCAGUAGUCACAGCUGAUUAUGCACAACCAACUCUGGAGGAUGGACACUCAGGUAGAUGCCGGAUGCAAGAGGAGCUAGAGAGGAGAAGAUCCGAGGUUGGUGGGGAAAUGAGGCAUAUUUCAGAAAGCUAAGGAAGAACAGCUGGAACAGAUGUGGAGUGAAAAAGCUAAAAAUGGUUCCAGUAUCUGCCUUGGAAUUCUGGGUGCUCCCUGUGGAGAGUAAUCUACCAUAGCUGUGU